UGUAGCGUGGCCGAGCGAUCUAAGGCGCUGAUGUAAGGCACCAGUGUCUUCGAAGGCGUGGAUUCGAAUCCAACCGCUGCCA